rnacentral:rRNA from 1 species
CCCUUCUGGAGUUUGGCAGAGGGGGGUGGAAUUCCACGUGUAGCAGUGAAAUGCGUAGAGAUGUGGAGGAACACCAAUGGCGAAGGCAGCCCCCUGGGUCGAUACUGACGCUCAUGCACGAAAGCGUGGGUAGCAAACAGGAUUAGAUACCCUGGUAGUCCACGCCCUAGACGAUGUCAACUAGGUGUUGGGAGGGUAAAACCUUUUAGUGCCGUAGCUAACG